UACGAAGGGUCCUAGCGUUGUUCGGAAUUACUGGGCGUAAAGGGAGCGUAGGCGGCUUACUAAGUCAGGUGUGAAAUCCCCAAGCUUAACUUGGGAACUGCAUUUGAUACUGGUAGGCUAGAGAUCGGAAGAGGUGAGUGGAAUUCCUAGUGUAGAGGUGAAAUUCGUAGAUAUUAGGAAGAACACCAGCGGCGAAGGCGGCUCACUGGUCCGAUACUGACGCUAAGGCUCGAAAGCGUGGGGAGCAAACAGG
rnacentral:rRNA from 1 species